rnacentral:tRNA from 1 species
GCUGAUGUAGCUCAGUUGGUAGAGCAACUGAUUCGUAAUCAGUAGGUCGGUGGUUCGACUCCACUCAUCAGCACCA